rnacentral:rRNA from 1 species
CUUACACAUGCAAGUCGAACGGUAACAUUGGUGCUUGCACCAGAUGACGAGUGGCGCACGGGUGCGUAACGCGUAUGCAAUCUACCUUUUACUGAAGAAUAGCCCAGAGAAAUUUGGAAUAAUCCUUCAUAACAUCAUUUAUCAGCAUUGAUUUAUGAUUAAAGCUCCGGCGGUAAAAGAUGAGCAUGCGUCCUAUUAGUUUGUUGGUGAGGUAACGGCUCACCAAGACUACGAUAGGUAGGGGCCCUGAGAGGGGGAUCCCCCACACUGGUACUGAGACACGGACCAGACUCCUACGGGAGGCAGCAGUGAGGAAUAUUGGACAAUGGAGGCAACUCUGAUCCAGCCAUGCCGCGUGCAGGAUGACUGCCCUAUGGGUUGUAAACUGCUUUUAUAUAGGAAGAAACACUCCCACGUGUGGGGGCUUGACGGUACUAUAUGAAUAAGGAUCGGCUAACUCCGUGCCAGCAGCCGCGGUAAUACGGAGGAUCCAAGCGUUAUCCGGAAUCAUUGGGUUUAAAGGGUCCGCAGGCGGCCUGUUAAGUCAGAGGUGAAAGCCAACAGCUCAACUGUUGAACUGCCUUUGAUACUGAUAGGCUAGAGUUAUUGUGAAGUGGUUAGAAUGUGUGGUGUAGCGGUGAAAUGCUUAGAUAUCACACAGAAUACCCAUUGCGAAGGCAGAUCACUAACAAUAUACUGACGCUCAUGGACGAAAGCGUGGGGAGCGAACAGGAUUAAAUACCCCG